GCUGGGCAUGGUGGCGCGUGCCUGUAAUCCCAGCUACCUGGGAGGCUGAGGUGGGAGAAUCACUUGAGUCCGAGAGGCAGAGGUUGCAGUGAGCCAAGAUCGUGCCACUGCACUCUAGCUGGGACGACAGAGUGAGACUCCAUCUCAC
rfam:Pan troglodytes isolate Yerkes chimp pedigree #C0471 (Clint) chromosome 2B, whole genome shotgun sequence.